AAGAGCAAGACUGAAAUGAAUGUCGAAGUACAUUAGCUUGCUAAGGGUUUUAAGAAUUUAAGGGUUAGAAGAAUUUCUAUCUGUCACAGAUGUUUGACCGUGACUUUACGUGAAUGCAGUAUCUCUUUGAGGGAUAUCAGCAUGGCAACCUCAUGCCUAGUGUGAGGAGGUCUUCUUCCUGCUCAUCCCAGGCAUCUGUGAUAUGUAGGGCGGGCAUCAGGGAGUGGGAAACCCUGAAAUGAUCUUGUAUCCUUCCUCUAUUGCCGCAUAACAACCCCCAAACUUUAAUACGAUGGUUUAAUACAAUGAUAUAUACACUUAAUGCCUUUCAGACAGUUUCUGUUGGUCAGAGGUUCAGGGGCGCUUUGGCGGGCUGCUGGCUUGGGGCGGGGUCUCUCGGGCACCUGCAAUCGUGUGUCCGAUGGAGCUACAGUCAUUGGAAGGCUGGGCUGAGCUGGAGAAUGGACUCCCUCCGUGGCUCCCUUCCGUGACUCACCCGUGCGGCUGGCUGUUGGCAGGAGGCCGUGGCUCCUCUGCCUGAAGGUCUCUCCACAGGACUGCCUGAGUGUCCUCACCGCCUGGCGGCCGACUUCCUCCAGAGCAAGGUAGCCGAGAGAGAGCCAGGCAGAAGUCACACUGACCCGGCUCUCCGAGGUCACACCUGUCACCUCCACUUCGGCCGCGUGGGCCAGCCCUGAUUCGGCGUGGAAGGAAGGAGAGUUCACGAGGGGGAUGGAGGAGAGACAGAUACAAGGAAAGAAGGACCCUGAUGCUGGACACCAGCCUCAAGUGUCUGCAGCUUGGAGAGGCCGCCACAGGUGCUCAGUCUGGAAGAUUCCUGUUGCCAUUCCCCCACCCCCACCUCCAUAAACCGUCACUCCCUUCUCUGACCCUUUAACAUUGAACGUGCCCUUCAGCACGCUCACCCAUUAUUUACUCCCCAGGAGGCACAUGUUUCCUCUUUGGGGACAACUGACCUCUGGCACCCUCUGGGCUACUUCUGACCCCUGCCCACCUCAGCCCUGCUCGCUGGACCUGCAGAAAGCACCUGGUGUGGGUGUGAGCUG